AAGGCUUCGGUUGUAACCCUUCAGUGGACGAAGCUUCUCCGGUGAAUAGCCGGACGGAGUGACGGUACCUUCACAAGAAGCACCGGCUAACUACGUGC
rnacentral:rRNA from 1 species